AGGAUGAGCAGUGGGAUGGACACUUGUCUGCUAAAGGCACUUCGUAAAUGAGAAAUAUGCACGAACAUUACGUCCGGGAAAGCGCUCGACUGUAGAGACAGAGGCGCUACGACCAGGAUGGCGAAGAUGACAUCACAAGACCGAGAGAGGACGUCAUCGAGAUGCAACACAAGCGCUCAGCACGCAACAGAGGAUACACCCCGACUCGUUUGUCUUUAUUUGCUUCAGAGGAGACGUGGCGCUGUGAAUACAACGGGUUAGAGAUGGUGAAAGAGAAACAUCCCACAUUCUUCUUCCUUGAGAAAGCAUAAUUUAAAUCUCCUUGGUUGUGGGAACCUGGCACACUGCUGAUGUAAUCUCCGAUAUCGUUCUUCAACUGUCAUCGGUUGUGUAAACUUGACACUCAUCACCGACACUUCUCUUCACUGCAGGCUUUGAAAAAGAUGUGUUUGAGGCUUUGUAAUAAUUCCACUUGAAGUCAGUGUCGCGUUCAAGUUUCAGUGUACAAAGAAGUCGACACGGAUGAUCAGAGUCAGCGGCUUCACGGCUCCUCCGCCCAGUUGAUUGGAGGAAUGAGCGAGUGAGUGAAUGUGGCGAGGAAUUGGAUGUACUGAGCACGCAAGAGAGUUAAGGCGGUGAGACAUUGGACAUACUGAUCUUGACUGUGUCUGGAGCUCUCGUCUAAUGUCGAGAGUACAAAAUAAAAUCGGUGGAUUUCCCGGCCUCGAGAGCCAAUAACCUCACAGUGAUUGGUUCAUUCAGCUCCGCAUACAAUAAGUGUCCUUCAUAUUACACUUGCGGGUCGCACUAAAAUUAAUCUUUCAUAUUAAGACAGGGGCCACAAACUAUUGUCCCAGGGGCCGUAGUUGGCCUGCGGGCCACGAGUCAGACCCCUGUUUUAGAUGCACAGAAAACUUUAGUCUUAAGGGAAUAAAGUUAAAGUAGAAUGAGCGAUUAAUCUGUCCGUCAGACUGCAGAAAACAGAAGUAUCAGACACUUUCACAUAUUUAUGAAACUUACAUAAAGGUUUGGGUUGUCAGCAUUUUAGCAUUCAAAAAGAUGAACAGAUGGAUGCAGCUAUUUUAGAAAUUCAAGAGACUUGAUUCUGUACAAGAGUACUGUAUAUCAUGAACGUUCAUCAUAAAGAACUCUCUAUUGGGCAGGAACAGAGCCUGAGUGAUACAUUUUUCCUCCUAGAAUACUGGUGCCUCAAAUAAUUGCAAAUUUCAACAGGACCAGAAGAUAUUUGUUUAAGUGUUCCACUGGUAUAAAUGUGUUCCUAUGCUAGGAUAGAGUAUGAGGCAACAAUGACAUAGUACGUACCAUAACUAAUAAAAUGAUUGUUUUAGAAAAGUAAAACACACAAUCAGAUGUUAAGAAGAAGAAAAUUUGACAUCCCUUCCAUUCAGGCCACAAAUUUAUGUAGCAAUUAAGUACUUGAAUGAC